rnacentral:rRNA from 1 species
UACGUAGGCAGCGAGCGUUGUUCGGAGUUACUGGGCGUAAAGGGCCAGUAGGCGGCCAACUAAGUCCGACGUGAAAUCCCCAGCUUAACCUGGGAACUGCGUCGGAUACUGGAUGGCUUGAAUUCGGGAGAGGGAUGCAGAAUUCCAGGUGUAGCGGUGAAAUGCGUAGAUAUCUGGAGGAAUACCGGUGGCGAAGGCGGCAUCCUGGACCGAGAUUGACGCGUGAACGGCGAAAGCUAGGGGAGCAAACGGG